rnacentral:misc_RNA from 1 species
GCAAAUACCUUCUGGAAGUAAAAGCGUAACAAGGUUUCCGUAGUGACCUGCGGAGGAUCAUUAACAUUAAUUUACUACACACUGUUUUUUUACAACAAAACAAAUCUAUCUAAAAACAAUUCUUUACAAGAAAUUCUUAAAACUUUCAACAACGGAUCUCUUGGUUCUCGCAUCGAUGAAGAACACA